rnacentral:rRNA from 1 species
AUUGAACGCUAGCGGGAUGCCUUACACAUGCAAGUAGAACGGAGUGGCGAACGGGUGAGUAAUGUAUCGGAACGUGCCCAGUAGAGGGGGAUAACUACGCGAAAGCGUAGCUAAUACCGCAUACUAUUGGAGCGGCUGAUAUCGGAUUAGCUAGUUGGUGGGGUAACGGCUCACCAAGGCGACGAUCCGUAGCUGGUUUGAGAGGACGAUCAGCCAAACUGGGACUGAGAAACGGCCCAGACUCUUAGGGGAGGCAGCAGUGGGGAAUUUGGGACAAUGGGGGAAACCCUGAUCCAGCAAUCCCGCGUGUGCGAUGAAGGCCUGCGGGUUGUAAAGCACUUUUGGCAGGAAAGCGGUACCUGCAGAAUAAGCACCGGCUAACUACGUGCCAGCAGCCGCGGUAAUUC